GAUGAACGCUGGCGGCGUGCUUAACACAUGCAAGUCGAACGAUGAUCUCCAGCUUGCUGGGGGGAUUAGUGGCGAACGGGUGAGUAACACGUGAGUAACCUGCCCUUGACUCUGGGAUAAGCCUGGGAAACUGGGUCUAAUACCGGAUAUGACCAUUCCACGCAUGUGGUGGUGGUGGAAAGCUUUUGCGGUUUUGGAUGGACUCGCGGCCUAUCAGCUUGUUGGUGGGGUAAUGGCCUACCAAGGCGACGACGGGUAGCCGGCCUGAGAGGGUGACCGGCCACACUGGGACUGAGACACGGCCCAGACUCCUACGGGAGGCAGCAGUGGGGAAUAUUGCACAAUGGGCGGAAGCCUGAUGCAGCGACGCCGCGUGAGGGAUGACGGCCUUCGGGUUGUAAACCUCUUUCAGUAGGGAAGAAGCGUAAGUGACGGUACCUGCAGAAGAAGCGCCGGCUAACUACGUGCCAGCAGCCGCAGUAACAC
rnacentral:rRNA from 1 species